AGAGUUUGAUCCUGGCUCAGGAUGAACGCUGGCGGCGUGCUUAACACAUGCAAGUCGAGCGGAAAUAUUUUAAAUGAAGGCUUCGGUUGGAAUUUAUAAUAUUUUAGCGGCGGACGGGUGAGUAACGUGUGGGUAACCUGCCAUAUACUGGGGAAUAAUCAUUUGAAAAGAUGACUAAUACCGCAUGUCGUCACCGAGGGGCAUCCCUUGGUGAAAAAAGGAGUAAUCCGGUAUAUGAUGGACCCGCAUCUGAUUAGCUAGUUGGUGAGAUAAUAGCUCACCAAGGCGACGAUCAGUAGCCGACCUGAGAGGGUGAUCGGCCACAUUGGGACUGAGACACGGCCCAAACUCCUACGGGAGGCAGCAGUGGGGAAUAUUGCACAAUGGGCGAAAGCCUGAUGCAGCAACGCCGCGUGAAGGAAGAAGGGUUUCGGCUCGUAAACUUCUAUCAAUGGGGAAGAAACAAAUGACGGUACCCAAAUAAGAAGCCCCGGCUAACUACGUGCCAGCAGCCGCGGUAAUACGUAGGGGGCAAGCGUUAUCCGGAAUUACUGGGUGUAAAGGGAGCGUAGGCGGCAUGGUAAGCCAGAUGUGAAAGCCCGAAGCUUAACUUCGAGGAUUGCAUUUGGAACUAUCAAGCUAGAGUACAGGAGAGGUAAGUGGAAUUCCUAGUGUAGCGGUGAAAUGCGUAGAUAUUAGGAAGAACACCAGUGGCGAAGGCGACUUACUGGACUGAAACUGACGCUGAGGCUCGAAAGCGUGGGGAGCGAACAGGAUUAGAUACCCUGGUAGUCCACGCCGUAAACGAUGAGUGCUAGGUGUCGGAGGGGAACCUUCGGUGCCGCAGCUAACGCAAUAAGCACUCCACCUGGGGAGUACGAUCGCAAGAUUGAAACCAAAGGAAUUGACGG
rnacentral:rRNA from 1 species